UACGGGGGGAGCAAGCGUUGUUCGGAUUUACUGGGCGUAAAGGGCGCGUAGGCGGCCACCGCAAGUCGGUUGUGAAAUCUCUGGGCUUAACCCAGAAAGGUCAACCGAUACUGCGGGGCUAGAGUGCAGAAGGGGCAACUGGAAUUCUCGGUGUAGCAGUGAAAUGCGUAGAUAUCGAGAGGAACACCAGUGGCGAAGGCGAGUCUCUGGACAAUUCCUGACGCUGAGGCACGAAAGCUAGGGGAGCAAACAGG
rnacentral:rRNA from 1 species